CCCUGGUAAGGUUGUCUUUGUUACUUUAAAUAUGCCAGAUAGUUAUGUUGCACAGAGCAUGGGCUCUAUGAAUGCAGGCAAGUCAUGCAGAGCCCAACCCACCUGGCUGAGAAGUGCUGACCCUCAGGCGCCUGCAAGCAGAGGAGCAGUAGCCAGGAGCAUGGCCAUCCUUGUCACUGAUGUGGUACUGUUUGGGUAACUUGAUAUCUGUGAUAACCUUAAUGUAGCAGCAUUUUGAUACACACCUGCUCUGUAUCUUCGUUAGAUCUUCAGUUCAGCAGUUCUCGCUAUUUCUGUGUUUGAAGCACCAGCAAUCCUGGAGGUCAGUUGUAACAGGUGCUCUUGGGAAUGAUACGUUUGCAGAACCCUGGAAGGGGAGCCAAUGCACCUGGCUCUACAAGUGGUGUGGUGUUUUUUGUGCUGCGAGGCCAGAAAGUGUAUCGCUUGCUCAGCUUUGACAGUACAGAAGUAGUGCUUAGGUCCCUUUUUCAGUGAAAUCACAGCGUGGCUGAGGCUGGAGAUCAUCUCAUCCACCUCCUCUGCCUCAAGCAGAGUCAGCCAAGGCAGGUUGCUCAGGGCCACGUGCAGUUUGGUUCUGGACUUCUCCAAGGAUGGGGACUCCACAACCUCUUGGCAUUGCCUGCUGCAGUGUUAGUCUGUCUGUGCUCUUUGCCUCCUGCACUGUCCCUGGGUACCACAUGAAGACUGGAUUUCCUAGCCCUAUCUGUGUGUGCUCAAAGGGUCUCUCCGUGGCCCUCCUUGGUCUCCUGCUUCCACCUCUUGUGUGCUUCCUUUUCACAGGUAAGUAGAACUGAGAGCCCCAUGUCUGUGCAUGCAGACCUGCUGGCUGUGCUUGGCUUCCUGUGUGAUGGGACGGGCCAGUUUGUGAGCCUGGAGGAGCCCCCAGCUCUGCUGGGUCCCAUUGCCCUCCAGGUUGGCCUCCCCGUCUCCAAACAGACAAGGAAUGGGGUUGCAUUUUGUACAAAGGUCCUUAACCUGCCCUUACAAAUAUGGUCUCUGGUCUCCACAGAUACGGUCUCCACAACACUGUGGAGAAACCCACACGAACGGAAGAGCUUGUCUAAAUAGCAGCUGUGGGAAUCUUAUGUUUAGGGAGCACUGCUCAUUUUCUCUCUUUGUUUUUCUUUUUAAAACCCAAAUCUUUAACCUGUUGAUUCAAACGGGCAAAACACAAAUUCCCUUUGUGUGAAUGGAUAGGAAAGGAAAUCUCAUAUUCUUAAUGGUUCUCUUGGUCCAGCGAGGUUCUAGCCAGGGACUCCCAGCCAGGAAUUUUGGUUUCUGAGGUGUAGGGGUUGAGCAUGGGGCUGUGACUGUCCUAUGAGAGUGUAAGAUUUGCCAUUUCAGUGGCAGUGAGUGAAAGGGAAUGCUUAGGAUGGGCUCUUAGUGUGGUUUCAAGUAGGAACAGCUACUGAUUAGCGGAGGAGAUUUUGAAUCUCCUUUUAAAAACGUGGCAGGCAGUACAGAAGAAAAUAGUGGUACCCCCAAAGCACAGCUCUUAGCUGGGGGGGUUAUAACAGAUUGCCUCUUGGUGGGGCAGUGUGGAAUGGGAGGGGAACCUGCAGGUAGCACAAGCACUGAGUAACCAGCCUUAGGAAUGGCAUUUAUUUGUAUGGACUUCACAGCUGGCCGCCUGCAUUUGAUUCGGUUGCUUUUUAUAUUCAGUGUUAACGUAGCUCUGUAUUAAAGGGAACUUCAGCACACUCAUGUUCUCCCAGCCGGCGGCUGCCAGGUAACGACACCUGCCCGUUCUGGUGGAUGGGAGCGUGUCCCUGUGACUGGGGCACCUGCCCUGGCACGAGCCUCCCUGCUGCAGGUGCUGCUUCACUGACUGUAAAAUGAGGGCAUGUUUAAUUGCCUGUUACUCUGCGUUUCCUGGGUCAGUUCUGAGAUGUAAUGGUGCAGAAGGGCUGGUGGAAGCGGGGCUGAGUCACACACGAGCCCCGUGGCUGUUACUGCUGUAGUGCUGACUGACGCCGGUGUUCCUGGCUGCAGCUUCUCAGGCUGAAGUGCACUGAUGGAUCUCUGUAGUGUGAGGAUGUUCCUGUUGAGCAGGAUCUCACUGCACGGGGCCAAAAUACACUCAAGCAAGCGUUUGGAUCAAUCAUUUUAGCAUAGUCCUGAGUAAUGCCAGCAGCUGCCCUACUUUCACUUAAGGCCUUACUGGCAGGUAGAAGUCCAGGAGGAACAGACCUGACUCGCUGGUGCUGCUGGCCUGGAGACAGCGAUCCACUGGGAACAAGAGGGAUGGUGCUGGGGGCCACAGUUCAGCUGAAUCUGUUUGGAUUUCUUGAGCAAGUGUAAAAUAGCAGCACUUCUGAACACCUAAAGCGAGGGAUAGAACUGGAGCACAGAUCUCUUUACAGCGUUAUUGUUUCUGCCAUUCUGUAGUCAGAAUCCUACUUAAAAAUACGCAGUAUCUUCAGCUGCUUUGAGGUUUGAAGGUAGAAUAGCAUCAAGGCUGUGAGAGCGUCUCUGUAACUGGGUGACAGCUAUUCAGCUCCAGCUCAAUCCUCUGACAAAUGUGAGGUUCUUCACUGUUCAGUCUGCAAAGGAGCUUCUCCCCUGCCUUGCAGGCUGCAUUGGUAACUUGAAAUGCCUUCAGUUACGUGUGAGCUCUUGUUUUUGUGCUGCCAGUGCAGGAAGCCUCGCUACAGAAGCAUUGCCACUGACCCUCGUGUGAACCUGGCUUCUUCCUGUGCCUUGGGGUGGGCAGAGCUCUGCAGGGAGGGAAGGCAGGAGGCUGCGGGCAGCAACAUGGGCUGGAGGGGUGAGUUCAGGGGUCUGGGAUGGGACCCAGCAUUGAGCCCUAGCAGUGCUCCCGAACCACCGCGCUUUGGCCCUUCAGUGAUUGCUCCAGUGCUUGGCAUCCUCGCCCCAAAGCGAAGGUGUGCGGGUAUAAAUAACCUGAAGAAAGGACUGGGUGAUGGCGUUGUGUAGGAUCCCCUGCUGUUGCCAUCUUUUCCCCAGAGGUUGGCAUAGGGGAUGCGGGCAGCAGAGUGAGCCGGGCCCUCUGCCCUCAGUGAGUGACUGAGUGUUUUUGUGCCUUCAGAGCAGCACUGGGUAAAGCUGCUGUGCUGCCCGUGGGCACAAAAGAGUUUUGACACACUCUGGUAAUGCUGAGAUGAAUAACUUCUUAAAUAUGCCAACAAAACGAGUUACUCAGUAGAUCCAAGGCAGUUGAUGCCGUAAUUUAAUUCUAGGCAGAAAGACAGUGCCUUAGGUGGAAGGAUGUUCUAUUUCAAGGUAUUAAACAGCUUUAAUAUACGUUGACAUUCAGCACCACAUUUGUAAUCCCUGUAAUUACUCCUAUCUGCUCGAUGGAGAGCCGGCACGGUGCCGCUCAGCACUGAGGGACAGUUUUGUUUCGUGCCUGAAAGAAAGAAGACAUUGCAUAAAGCACACUCUGUGCUGAAGCUGUGGGGAAAGAGGUGACUGGAGAACAAAACAGGAGCUGUAAGAGCUGCCCUGUCUGGUACGCUUCCUCUCCAUCCGUCUCCGCAGGCAGCUUUGAAUGAACGAAGAAGCUGAGCAAAACGAGACACAAAGAGGAGAGCUCUGCUGCUGGGAGCCCCAGCAGACUGCAGCGUGGGCAGCCCCUUCCCGUUGGGCUUUGUGCUGUGUCUGCUUCCUGGGGGCACUCUGAGCACCGGGCUGUGCCGUGGGAACCCGCAGGGAAUCAGUGUGGGGGGUGGCUGCGGGCGGCGCCCUGGCUGCGUUCUGUGAUGGUUUCCUCGUCACUUCCUUGAGUUUUCUUGACGGAAGACAAAUUCUACCAACAACCGUACAUCCUUAUCGCUUCUGGAAGUUGUUAAACAAAAUCUCCGUCCAGAGAAGAAAAUAACAAAAAGAACAGAAGGGGAGGAGAGGGAAAGGGGGCUGAAACCGGCAAAUACAGGGCCGUGUUUUCCAGGAGGUUGACAUUGCCACCCAGUGGUCGCUCAGCGCAAUGGUACAGCGAUGCACGUCCAAAGGCUGAAGCGUGGCACUCAGGUGUAAGACCAUUGCCCCUUGUCUUAUCACUAUCCACCGUCAUAAGCAGUUGUUACCCCCUCUUGUUUAUACACUCCCUUCAAGUACUGGAAGGUUGCAAUGAGGUCUCCUCGGAGCCUUCUCUUCUCCAAGCUAAACAAGCCCCAUUCCCUCAGCCAUUCUUCAUAGGAGAGGGGCUCCAGCCCUCUGAUCAUCUUAGCGGCUCUCCUAAUACAUGACAGAAGGGAAAUGCUGGUUAGCUACUUAAUAAAAUUGACAAAUUUUAACUUUUUAUAUGCUACUGCAUUACGUUUAUGGGAUUACAGUUUUGCUGUCAUUCUACUUAGCAUUAAUGACGGCAAUUACAGAGCUUACAGGGAAGGAAACCUGUCCAAGGUGCACUGAGUGUGCUGUAUGUGGAAGGCAGCUCUGCUGUCUGUCCUUUCCUGGUGCCCACCACUGUGAAUAGGUAUGUGCAGACGUGUGGCCAUGUAGCUCGCUUUGGUUGGCUCCAUGGAUGCCACACAUAAAUGUGAUAUUUUGUGGCGACAGGAAAACUAUUAUUAGUCCAGUGUGUCAGACUGCACGCUGGAGGCAGUGUGUUUGAUGAGCUUAAUUCCCUGCUGUCUUGAAUAAAAAAGCUGUUGAGCAGGGGAGAGGAGACCUGGUAACAGGGAGUUGUUAGAAGGCGGGGAAAUGUCCCACUGCCUUGAGUUAGAGGUGAAAACGCAUCACUGCCACCUUUGCCCCCUGUACAUGGAGGACAAGGAGACGUCAUUUCCACCUGAUGCAGGGGACUCAAAAGCAUAGAUGGAAAACUGAAGGAUAAUUAAUGGUUUGCCCAUUUAGCUACCACGUCCUCUUCAUCACAACUUCAGUCAGAAAUGUUUGCUCCAGAAGGACAGCACAGAAAUCGUCUGAUUGCAGUAGAUAGGAAUCUCACGGAAUGUGCUGCCCCAUAAUUAAGUGCAUGUUUUUUUCCCUCUCUGAAAUAAUGCAACGUCCUUCGGAUACAGUUUUGCUUUCCUCUGUCCCUGCCCAAGGAGAGGUGCAGGCAUUUCCACUCACCUGGAAGGAAGGUGGCUUUAGGUGUGUGUGAAGCCCAGAGGGGAGAAACAGGAGCCCACUGGGAGUUGCUUAGGGCGCUCUGCUCUACCAGGCUGAGCUGAAAGGCACUUCUCAAAAGCAUUUGCAUUUCUGAAAGCACACGGAUCUAUCUGUGAGCUGCUAUCUGCUAAAGCACCAGACUUUUCAGAGCAGCGUGCCCAGAAGGGCUGGUAUUUGUGCUGAAAAUGUAAGUGUUCAUACAUGGCACUGCUUGCACUUCUCUCUCUUUAGUUGGGAUGUAAAAAAAAAAAAAAAAAAAAUACCAUUCUGCCUUUUCUAUUUUACCCAGAGAUCAAAUGUGGUAUCUUGCAACACUGUCACAGAGCCACAUGGAUAGGUGUUCCUCCCGACAGCUGCUCCUGGUUGGAGGUAGCAGUUCCCAUGUAGCUGCUUCUGCACGUGGAAACUGCAGUGACAGACAACAAAACCAGGAUGACUUUUAGGCCCAGUAUUUUUAUUGCUGGGCUGGCAGCUGUAACUGCUCCCAGAGUCCGGCUUACAGGAGAUGUCCUGGAAGCUUUUUGUGCAAUGCACGGAAUAACACAAGCGAGCAAGGCAAAACCAAAAGCAGGAUGCAGCAGUACUGAUGCCACUGACAGCUUACACAGAGGUAAGAGUCAUUACGGCUUGUGGUCAAAGUUGUUUAUUUUUUUCUUGUCACAGGAUGUCAGACAAUACGAGGCCUUUUAGCAGCACUUCACACUUUUUGCUUUCCUUUCAAGUCAACAGAAACUCAGCUGCCUGAAGGUGGGUGAGGCCAAACAGCAGCACAAACCUUCCUCUGGAGGAAGGGACCCGAUCCCACUAACCUGCUCCACUGAGGUGCUGUGCAGUUUCAAUGCCAAGACACUGAUUUGAUAACUGUGGUUUCUUCUUACUGACCUGGCCGGGAAAAGCUGCCUUGUUGCUCAACAGCACUUUGUCUUCAUGAUUUAUAUGUUGCUUGACACAGCUAAGCGUGAUGCUGCAGUGUGAGAACUGCUUGCUGGCCGGCCGGCUGCAUGAGCUUCUCCACAGAAAGGUCUGUGCUGUGAACUGCUUUACUACCAACUGGGGCUUCUGCAAGAAAAGAAUGCAUCAGAAACACAAGAAUGUGUACAUUUGUUGUCAUGUUCCAUUCAAAAUAUGUAAAAGGAAAAAAAACUGUAAUUAACGUUGCAUUUAAGCCUGCUUGACUGUACUAAGCAUGACCUACAAGCCCAAGGAAUGCUACUGAGAUUUCCCUGAAAAAUGUUGAAACCGUUUAUUUGCCUGCUGAAUGGACUGAUUUUGAGAUAUGAGCAUGCUUUCCAUCGAAGAACAUCCUGAAAUUAAGUUCAGUUAAUGCCAUUUAUAUUACUCACUCUUCCCUGUUGAACUGGGCGUCCUGGAUUUCAACAUACACUGCUGUGCUGUGUAUUCCAGCUGUGACUGCAGCAGUGCUAAAUGUGUCUGCUUGAUGGAGAGCAUUAGGGGAACUCGGAUGUAGUCCAUCUAUUAGAUGGUUCUCCAGGAGGUGACAUUUCUGCACAGCUCAUCAGUGACAUCCCCUAUUCCCUCUCUUGGCCACAUUUGCAAGCUUCCAAACGUGUUUGUGAAUGUGACCAAAUUCUGGCCCUCGAGAUCAAAGGUCUGUCCACAUCUCUCUCUGGCACUACAGAUCUGGGAUGCUGCAAGCCAGUAUUCAAGAAUCCUGUCAAACUUGAGCAUAUCUGUGAUUUAUAACGUAGAAAACCAUGUAGACUCUCAUCAUACACUUAGUACUCAACAGUCUACAGAAGCAGAACCUACCAAGAAAGCAAAUGUCAAAAAAGCAGCGUGAGCAAAGUUAAGAAUCUUCCACGUAAGGGGAUAUGUUUCUGGCUUGGAGCCAACCGGGGAGAAGAAGAAAUUCCUAAAUAUAGGAGCCCGGAAGGUGUGAAAGAACUGUUGGAUGCUGAAGUAUGUCAGGGACAAGAUUGGUGAUGAGUAAGAGCUUCCGCUGCUGGAAGCAGAGCGUGCUGGCAGGUAGCAGACUCCGUGAUCUUCUGAACAAGGAACAAAUCCUUGCUGAUCCUCUCCUAGUUGUGACACUUACAAGCUAUCUGCCACAAAAGCUUUAAGAAUGCAGAAUGGAUUUCUCUACGGUCAUGAUCCGAAGGGAAUUUUAUCAGGGAGUUUCUGGGUUUGUUAUGGAGCAAAAGAAUGUAUUUGUUCUUCUGUUGUACUGCACUUCUGCACUGAGAAUGAAGAGACUCAGUCCUGCUAAUAGACUGAGAAAAGAGAUUAAGCAUACAAGCUAAGGAUUCUGCAUAUUGAAAUACAGUAAAUCUGAAAAAUACUGGAAGACAUUGGUGGUUUGCUGGAGGUCACCUGGACAGGUACCUGGCAAGGCUAUCUCCCUAUGCCUCAGCUGCUUCACCUGCAAAGUGGGGAUAAUGACAUUCAGUCGCUUUUUAAAACCAUUUUAAGAUGCUCCACUUCCGUGUUCUGUACCAAAGGGAAAUACUUCACUUUCAUAUACACUUUUGUGUAACUGAUGACAAAGACCUUACAUUCUCUGCUUUAAGGUAGCCUAACCUUAAUUCAGUGUACUAAGGCUGGAAUGGGUAUAAACAACAAACACAGUAAGAGCAAAGACUGUUUUAGAAAUGGGAAUAUCAUCAUUCUUUUCCUCGUUUCUUUCAAUCAUAAUAAGAAUCUGCCUAAAACAGGCAGACCGUUUAAAUCCUAUCAAAUCUUCACAGAUUUUAUCUCUAGAUGAGAUUGGCUGACAAUUAAAAAGUACGCACUCAAAUGAUUUGAGGAAAAUCUUUCUAAAGCCAUGGACAGUUUCACUCCUCAGAUGCUUUAAAAAAAAAACAAAAGCAAAACUUAAUUUAAAAACAAAGAACGAGAGAAUACGGAUAUUAGUUUUGGCCUCAGAAAAUCCUUUAAUCCAUCAGACUUCUGCAUAACACUGUAAGUAUGCAAGUAAUCAGAUGAUUGUUUUCAUCCCUGGCCAAAUACUGCAAUCACAGCGAUGUGCAUGUAAGAACUGCUAUAUUUUUAGAGUAAUUACUUAUAGAGAGGUAGCAGUACCUUUAAUGUAACGUGUCAUUUUCAUUCUUAGAUGAAAACGGGGAGGAUGGGACAGUCAGGUUCCAAAUGAAAAUAAAGUUUAGUAGAUAAUAUUCAAUUUUUAAGCACAACAGUAAUUUUUUCAGAGACCUCUGAAAGCAUUUGAUGAGGUUUUGUUGAAUGUUGUUUCACCUCAGACUGCUGUUUCUCCUUCACCGGCUUCAGGAGCUGGAAUGAAAAAGAACAUCAUUAUUGUGUUUGCUCUCAAUGCCAUAUUAAAUCUCAAUCCUCUCGUCCCCCAGUCUGCAUGUACAGCCAGGAUGGCCCCAGCCCAGGUACAGAAUGCAGCGCUUGCUCUUGUUAAACUUCAUGUGGUUGAUUAUUGCCAGCCCUUCAAUUUGUUGAGAUCUCUGUGCAAGGCAGAUAUCCAAUACCCUACAGUGGUACAGCCAAUUGAGUAUCACAAAGAAAAUCAUAUGAAAGAGACAGUAAUCAAGACCGAAAUAAAUGCAUAUGCAUCUCUGCUCUGUAUUUCAAAUAUGUUUUGAAAACACGCUACAUUAAGAAACCCAAACACAUUUCACUUCAAGUAAUGUUGCUUUUACAACCAUCGAGAGCAAAUGAGAUGUGGUAGAACUCUGCCACUUCCCAAGCAGCACAAUCACACAGCCUUAGUCUUUUUCUGGCUUCAGUAGUGCUUUCCAUUUCUAUUGAUCUCUGUGAAAUGUGGUCUCUACAAACGGAAAAGGCGCAUUUCCCAGACCAGUGGUGCUGCAGAGUAGCUGGGAUCUAUUAAAUGAAUGGGAAUAUUAAAAUGGAAUGGAAGAAAAGGACCAUCCUUACAAGGGCACAAUACAUGGUUUAAUCAUCAUAAUAAAGUAAAAUGUGAAGUCCAGUCAUAACACACUACAGACGUGAGAAAUGAGAGCUAUCAAGGAGGGUUUCUGUUCUCUGAAAACAACUCCUUGAUAUGUGAAGGAAAGGAUGGAAGGAGGAGAACAGAUGGCACAUUCUUAGCAAAACCCUUUCUCAAGAACAUCCCUACUGAUGUAGCUAGUGACAGUUAAACUGGUUUAUACCCGAAGAAUACAGAGCUGUUCAAUCAUUUGGAUCAGCUACUUAGUACACUGGACCUUAUGAAUCCUACUUACACCACAAUUGCCUAAAAUUGAAGAAAACAUCUCCUCAGAGGCAAAAAGUGGAAAGAUCUAAGUUUUCUUAGUGCCAUGCAAUGGGUAUGGCAGUCACAAAAGAACUGACACGUGGCAUGGUACAAAAUGAUACACAAUCUUUAAAGACUAUUUUAUAAAGGCUGUUCUUGGGAGGGAAGAUGCCACUUCUAAGUUGAACAUGAGAAGCCAUUACUGACAAAUGAAUGUGGCAUUUGCACCGUGAUAGUUCAGAACAAUGGGAAAUCUGUCACUUGGAAUGUUUGCACAAUUCUAUGCACUAAUACUGCUUUGAAAGGUUUGGCAACAGUGACAGGCAAAAAAAGAAGGAAAGUUAAUGUAAACCUAUCAACAGAAGGAUUUGUUACUUCAAAUUAACAACUGGAUGAAGCUCUGACCGUAACAUUAUAUUGGGAACAAUUUCUCUUUUUGAAGUGCAAUGAAGUAUGAAUUAUCAGUAUCUUUCUACCUAUCCCAGCAGCUCACCUGCUGCAGAAAGAGUUGGUUGUUGGCAAUCCUCAUCAAGCAUAACUAACAAAGUCAAUCGACACAACAAGUUCUACGGCUGGCAUUAUUUGGAGAAUGUUUUGUUGGCCCCUAGAGCCUGAGGAUGUAUGAAGGCAUACUCUUUUUGAGCACAUGUAGACUCACAGUCCCUUCAUGCUGGUGUUCACCUACAGACCUAUGACACUGGUGCCUAACCCCAACAGGGAUACGCCGUUCAGCUGACAAAGAAGCUACUCAUGGACUCUAAGCCUCAGCUUUACCUGUUAGACAUCAUUAGAUAUAUAACCACGUGAUACCGACUUUUCCCCUCCUGUUUAAUGCAUAGGAAAGCACAGCACAUAUGCACUGGAUUUCAUGAACAAAGGCAUUCUAUACCCUGACAUGCAGCAAGGCUGUCAUCCCAUCACCAAGACACUCCUGUGUCCCCCACACUUGGACUAUUGGUAGAGAGUGGCGAGGUGGCUGCAGGACACCAGGAUCGCUCAUGUGGCUUGUAGGUUGUCACCUGUCCAUAUCUGAGAAGCAAGGAGCAAGCCACGAACUUCCAUCUUCAUCAUCUCUUAG
ensembl:lncRNA